GUAUGCCAUGCGCGCUCCCGCACACUAUGACGCACAGACGCUGGAUGGCAUGAGGAGGCUGAUGGAUAAACUUUAAACUCUCCUCACAAUGACUACAUUCUGGCUAGUUGUCCCCCCGACUACAUUGACGCUAGUUGUCUCACU